GGGGACGUGGUGUAUGGCGCACCGCUGCAUUUACUGAUCAAGGCACCAAUUUGGUUAUGCAGCAGGCCGGGGUUCGACUCCCCGCGUCCCCC